rnacentral:lncRNA from 1 species
AAUUGAUUGCUUUGAAAAAGCAAAACACAGUUCCUGUCCAAAUGUUCUUUAUUUAUCAAUGAAUAUUCUGCAGCAAAAUAUUGUAGCAAAUGUAAAUUUUGACAGAAUAGAGCAAGUAGCUUGUUGGUAAGUCUCUGUUUUUCAACAUGUUCUUUUUAAAGCGUAUAUUUUGAGUGUAAUGUUGUGCAGGAAAUCCAUUGGCUUUGCGAAUUUAUAUUAUAGGGCGUAAAUAUUUUUAUAUUUGAGUCGCUUCAAUCAUGAAAAGAAGCGCUGACUGUGUUGGUUUAGUUGAUUUGUUUAUUAAUUGUGUAUUAUAUUGUAUGUUAGCUAAGUUAUUAUGUUUAGUAAUUACAUUUCCAGAUGAUAACUUGGGCUGCAUUCAAUUGCAUAAAUUAAAGUAAAAGCGAAUUAAAGUCACAAAGGUUUGUUAUUAAUAUAGCAGGCCUUCAAAUAUCUUUUACAGGGCUCUGAUCAUCAUGAGUUUGGAUUGGUCGUAUGUAUGAUGAUGUCCGAUGACCUUCAGUUCAGCUUGGCUCGGAAAUAAGCCUGAAUGACACAAAUUAAUAUCAGCACAAUGUAUUAAUUCUGAACUAAAUGUUUUGAAGAAAUUAAAUAAUUUGUGUCAUUCAUAACCUAUUUCCAAGCCAAAAUUAACUUGCUUGCCAAUAACAGCAGUAAGACUCUGACAACUUUUAAAAGCCUGUUUUCCACUUCAUCAUUUUGCUCGCUGCCCCAUGCUCGAUUUCAUUAAAAUAGCAUUUCCGAUUCACUUUUUAUACAUUACUCUGAUUCUCCAUUUAACAUACAAGCCUGGACUAAGGUAUGGUACAUUUUGAUUUACGUCGGACAACGCUACAGUUUGGUCGAACACCAAUACACUCGGGUCGGACAAAUAAUAAAUUUUACUUGGGUCACUUGGUUUCCUCUAGCUAUGCCAGGCAAUUUCACAAAUGGGUUGGACAAUGUUUCAGGCCUUAAAAUAUCUGUCGGUCACGGACAUUGUCCGACCCAUUCGUGAAAUUGUCCGACGUAGAGAGGAAACCGCCGGACAUUCUGUCCGACCUAAGUGAAACUGAGGUUUGUUGUUUGUCCGACCUAAGUGAAUUUGUGUCCGACCGAACUGUAGCUUUGUCCAUCGUAAAUCAAAAUCUACCCUAGCCCAGGACUAGAGGCUUGCAUGUUAAAUCAGAGUACUAUUGUAUAAAAGGUGAACUGGAAAUGUUGUUUAACGUAGUCGAGCGCAGGGCGGCGAGCGAAAUGGUGAAGUGGAAAACGGGCUUAAGUUGUCGAAGUCUUUUUUAAUACUGCUGUUCUGGCAAGCAAGUUAAUUUUGGCUUGGAAAUAAGUAUGAAAGAAACAAAUUAUUUAAUAUCUUCACAACACUUACCGUUCAGAAUUAAUACAUUGUGCUGAAUAAGAUAUUCAUUUGUGUCAUUCAGACUUAUUUCCAAGUCAAAACUGAACUGAAGGUCAUCGGACAUAUGUCCGACCCAAACUCAACGUCAUCGGACAUUUUGUCAGACGGCGCUGUAAAAGAUAUUUUAAGGCCUGUGUUUAUGACCAACCAAUAUUUUAUAGAAUUAUGGAAUAAAGAAUGCUGCAGUAGGUGAGAUAUUACCUCUUGCUGGUGUUUUUAAUACACCAACUCACCAACUUUGUGCGAUCUUUCACAAAGAAGUUGUGAUUUUUCAACAUGGCGGCUGGUAGCUGCUAAAAAAGCCCACAAAUAAGGCAAACAGACAAACAAAGCACAUAAGCUAAUGAAGAAUAGUAUAUAGACUGAAUAGUAUUCCGACUAGUCUGGAAAGUUUGCAUUGUGCAACCGAGAUAUCGGGCGCGCAAUUUUGAUGCUUUCUAUAUGUUUACUAUUAAAUUUUUGAAAUCUUGGACCUGUGCGUAAUUUCCAAAUUUUCUAGUGCUGAUCAAUGGCUGUCCUAAAAAAUAAACAGUUUCCAUUUCUUGACAGAUUAAUUUAACGGCGUGCUGUUUGUCAAGUUUAGGUUACACAUGCAAUUUUUUCUCGCCCAGGCAAUGCAACAUGUCAAAUGUCAUUGCACUGCUGGCACAAUAGAAGAAAUCUACCCUGGUUGCCACUUGCCAGAGGUUCUCAUAUCUUCCGCCCUAUUCUCACUCGUAUUUAUUUCAUGCGAGGCGAAGAGAACCUCUGGUGACACGCGAUAUAAAUAUCACUUCGUUUGGUACAAAAUUUUUACCAAGCAUAUGCUUGGUUAGUUAUAAUUAGCAGUCACAUCAAGUGAUGUGAUUGGCUAAACAAAAAAACCUGUUUAUAAAUCUCAGAGAACAUGAUGUAAACAAAAUACAGAAAAUAUGAACAUAUUGAAAUGCUUUAAUACUUUAUAGUGUGGGUAAUAUUUGAGAUUAAAUUAACUUAGUUUCAGGGGCGGAUUAAUGCUCAUCUGACAGGAGGGGUGCAGAUUUCCCUGGGGGAGGGGGGGGGGUGCAUUGGUGCGCUACCAAAUGGGCUGACCGGGCUGUUGUAUAUAUUUUUAGGUAUAUCACCAUAACCCCUGUUUUGUGACCCCUGUUUUGUGACCCCUGGCCAUGUGAUCAAUAGAUCAAGUAUUUAAGUCUCUGAACUGGAUGGACAUAAAAUGCCCAAAUGCCCUGCUAGUACUUUAGUAACUUGCUAAAUUAUUUAGUGCGCACAGUAUAUGUGCAAAGUAUCAUUAUUUAAUAAUUAUUAAUGAAUAGUAGUAUAAAGUUAUAAAAUAUAGUUGUAUAGCUUACUCAGUAUAGCUUCCUUAGAAUAAUUCAAAUUCGUGAAAGUCGCAUAGUAACAAACUAACAAAGUUUUUAAUAAAUAAAUUAAAUAAUUAAUAGUUUUUUUCAAGUUCUCAAUUUAGUAAUAAGUACAUUAUACAUUUUAUACAGCUAGAUAGUUAGUCAGUUAAUUACUUAGACUUUAGACCACCUAUAUUGCGCAUGUUUCCCCAUGCUGUUACAACUUCGUUCAAAUCCAGCAAAUCAACAACAUCUCUGUUUAACGAAUGCAUAAAAGAUCACUUAAUCUUUCUGGAAGAAGGGUGGAUCGCAGCUUCGUGCAAAUACGAUUCAUGCCGGAAAAUGCUCUUUCCACUGAAGUGGUUGAUGUCGAGAUGGUGUUCUUAACUGCAAUUAAAGUGGUCAAGUUUGGAAGCCUCUUUGGAUUUAUUGGUAGAUCAAGACGGUAAUCAACUUCAGCUCUUUCGAUUUCUAGUUCGAGGAUAGAUCUGUUGGUGUUGAGACAGCUGAAGGUAUUCUGAACCUGCAUUAAGAGCAUUGAUAGCUCCAAGGAUGUCUAUGUUCUUAGAGUCAAAUCUGACGUUAAACUCAUCCUUGAGUUUCUUCUUCAGCGCUGCGUUGAGUUAUCCAAUAAAUUAUUUUACCUGAUGACCCUGAUCAUCGGUAGUCGUAACUGUUGUACUACUGUACCUCUAACCUCUAGUGUUGUGGGUAGGCAUUGUGUCGCAGAGAGUUUCCAGUCUUUCUUGAAAUUUCUUUCGACUCAAUGAAUAUGUCCUCGUCUUUGAUCUUGUUAAUUGAAUUCCGAGUUCGAGUCAGCUCGUAUUAAAUGUCCGUCCAAUCAAGUUCUUCGGCCUGAAUUAACGAAGUCCUUUAUUAAGGAAGUAUACUGUAGCUUGCCGAGAAUGGCGAGAUAGUUAAGUGUCGUCAGACCGACGAUGAAUUUUCCUGACAUCCGUUUGUGGUACAGUCCAGCUGCUGUUUCUGCCUGUGAUUUCUUAUACCCAUACUCAUCAUCUUUCGAAUCUUCAUCACUUCCACCGGGGUCGUUUGCCACGUCUAUCAGGGUCGUGAGGACAGCGUAACACCAAAUCUUUCAGAUAUAACAUCAAUGGCUUCGUUUUUGCAUCCCCAACGAACAUCGGUUUGCUGCGUAAUAUGUUUAACUUGUUUGCUAGGGAUACAUUUCUCUGUGGAGUGAUUCGUCCUUUUGUCUGAUCUUCGGUUUAUUGAGCAGUGUAUGGCAGGAUUUUACUGUGGUCAUAACAUCCGUUGAUGACAAAGUUAGACUUGCGCUCGUAGCUUAGACUUGCAGUAUUAUUCUUAGCCUUUUCACUGAAAUUUUAGGCUCAGUAUUCUACCUUGUUUUUCACAGUUUAGUUUAGUUUACUGUAGUCGUUGCUUUUUAUCUGGUCUUUUUACUAAAAUUGAAUAUGCGUUUGGAUAUUUAAUCUUUAGACGUUUUUACGUAGUAUAUUAGUUUUAUAAAUACUUAGUAGAAUAGGUCUAUUAACUGUGAUAGAAUAUAUAUGUAUAAUAAUUGCAUUUGUUGAAGUUAUCAGUAAGUUGUACUCUUACUGCCAAAUGUAUAAGUUUGUUUAUGCCUGGUUCACACUGGUCGUAAGAAUCGGGGAUUUCCAUUAAUGUUUGUGGUCAUUGGUGUGAAAAAUGCUUUGUCUGUCGGAAAAGAAUACAAUAGAUCGCCGAUGAAUUACGACCAGUGUGAACCAGGCUUUAAAUAAAGCUUAUAAUAAUAAUAACCUACAGUACGCACGCCAUUUUAGGAUUUUUCUGGGGGGGGGGGUGCUAGAAAAUUUGUGGGGAGGGGUACGCCACCCCCCCCCCCCCUGCACCCCCAGAAAAUCCGCCCCUGCUUAGUUUGUUUCGCUACGAACCUCUGAGAUAUGAACUCACUACUUAAAAAGAUUUUCUGCGCUCGAGAAGAGCUACCAUCACAGCAUGACUUGAGUUGACGGGAUGACAUGUUCACUCUUAAUAUUUGUAAAAUAUAAAGUCUUGCUUAAUUAAUAUCAUAAUAUGAUCGUUCAAGGUUUUAAAUUUUGGUAAUUCUUUGACUUUAAUAGUUAUUAAUACGAUUUAUUUUUCCAAUAUUUUCCCGUUGUCCUUUAAGGACAACCAUAUCCUCCAUUGCACAUAUAUUAUAGAUACUGUAUAUUUAUCAAUUAUUGGACGAGGUUGAGAAAAAUAUCGUGAUUUGUCGGUGGCGAGCAGAUCAAUAUUUGCCGAUGCCGAAGGCAGAGGCAAAUAAUUGAUCUGCGAGCCACCGACAAAUCACGAUAUUUUGCGAGAAACGAGUUCAAUAAUUGUUUUAUCAUUCACUUCAUUUUAUCUUUCGUUCAAUAUAAAUUCGCCGUCUCUCUUUCUUGCUUCUGCAUUAAACUUGCGAAGGACGUUGGCAAGAGUUUCUUUUGUAGUUUUAAGCCAACUAAAUCGUUUUUGUUGAUUUAGUCUUGCUUCUAAAUGCUGGCGAAAGACAUUGACGGCGGUUUUAGUUGCUUUUUUUAUUUUUAAAUAAGCAAGACAACUCAUUUUCCGAAAGUUCAGCAAAGCGAGCCGCCAUUGUUUACAAAAAUUGAAGGCAAUGCGCAUGCUCAGACUAUUAUUUGUAGCUGAGCAACGUUUUUAACAAAUGCGCAUGCUCAGACUAUUAUUUGCACGCAGUUAUUUGCAGGUAAAUUAACCAAUCAAAAUUGAGAACACUAUAAAGUGAAUGAUAAUAAAUAUUAUUCUUUCACUUUUGACUUUUGGAUUUAUACAUUCGCUAGUAAGACAAACAGCAUUCCACACAUUUAACAAUUGAGGUUGCUUUUGCUGUGUACAGGUAACUCUACAAUAGCUGUACGUUGCGAGAAUAAUGAACAUGUUUCUAAGGAGUUGUUUCCGGUAGACUGCUUAUUUUUAAUAUUUUACACAACUCACAAGGCUGCCGAACAUGGCAAACAGUCAAAGAGAGCUAUUUUGGUAGUAUGACAACCCGAAAGUUUAAAUACGUCACAAAAUAUAAACCGGUUUUGCAAGUUCUCAAAUGGCAACUCAGCAUGGAAGUGAGAUUCGCAUUGCGUGCCAACAUACGGUCAUGGCACAAGAACCUCUGGAACCAGGGUAGAAGAAAUCACACAUGUAUCAGCAAUUGAUUGUAUUCAGGCAUGCAGCCAAUGAAAAUUGCUUUAUGUACUGUACUUUACAAGUAGAUUAGCCACCCCAAAUAUAUUUUUUACUAAUAGAAGAUACUGUUGUAUAUCCUCGAUUUUACACACUACUGUUGAUACAUGGCGAAGUCAGUUGAUUGCUGAAAUGUUGCAAAUUCAUACACUGUUAAACACAUUUCAGAAUCCUUAUUAGGCAGUCUAUGAUUUGCUAACAUAUAGAUUUAAUAGAUCUUUCAUCAUUUCAUACUGUAGAUCUUUCAUAAUAGAUCUUAGAAUUAUCAAACCACUCUUCACAGUGAUCAAAUUUUUAUUGAUAAUACUUGUGUCUAAAAUUAAGAGCGCUAAUUUGUUUUUGGUGUCUUUUGUUUGAAUAUUGCAGAUUGUUUGUGAAUUUGUUGUUUCAUUCUCAACUAAUUUUGUCGCUCUUCGUCUUCUGUUUGUUUAUUUGUCUGUCAAUUCUUUAACGUUUGUCUUAGUCUUACUUUUCAAUGUUUAUUUUACAUUUUAAGUGCUCUGUGUGCUAAUUCCAGCCAUCCAAUAUAAUUUGAGUUUAAUUUAUGUCAUGAACUGUAUUAAUACGUAUCAUAUGUCAUAUCAUAUGACAAAAAAUAAAAUAAUAAGUCUGUUGUAGUUAACUCAUAUACGUUUCCACCAUUCACUGGUAACUGGUGACAAUCUGUAUAAAGCCCAAUGAUAAAUCAAGUUUCUUACUUUAGAUUUGAAAUAUUGAUACUGUGUAAGCAAUGGAAGGUGAGCAAGGUGCAACAGGGGGCAAAGCAUCGCCAACUUCAGAAAGUCCGCCAAGCACGCCUGUAAAUGGAGUUAGUGAUCAGGAUUCUCCAGAUGCUAAG